UACGGGAGGCAGCAGUGAGGAAUAUUGGUCAAUGGAGGCAACUCUGAACCAGCCACGUCGCGUGAAGGAUGACGGCCCUACGGGUUGUAAACUUCUUUUGUAAGGGAAUAAAGUUAGUUACGUGUAACUAUUUGCAUUA
rnacentral:rRNA from 1 species